rnacentral:rRNA from 1 species
GACGAACGCUGGCGGCGUGCCUAACACAUGCAAGUCGAACGGAAAGGCCCUGAUUUUGUGGGGUGCUCGAGUGGCGAACGGGUGAGUAACACGUGAGCAACCUGCCCUUGAUUUUGGGAUAACUUCAGGAAACUGGGGCUAAUACCGGAUAGGAGCUCCUGCUGCAGGGUGGGGGGUGGAACGUUUCGGCGGUUGGGGAUGGACUAGCGGGUUAUCAGUUUGUUGGUGGGGUAGGGGCAUACCAAGGCUGUGACGGGUAGCCGGCCUGUGAGGGUGACCGGGCACACUGGGAGUGAGCGACGGCAUUGACUCCUAGGUGCGGCCCAAGCUGCGACUGGUGGAAAAUGGGCGGAAUCUUGAUCAAUGGGUGCAGGCCGGAUGCAGCAGGGCCGCGGGCGGGAAAACGGCCUUGGGGUUGUAGAACGCUUUCGCCUGUAACGAAGCGUGAGUGGCGGUAAUGGGUAGAAAAACACCGGGUAAAUACGGGG